CCAAAAAUUUCUACGUACGCACCACCUUUCUCCUCCUUUUAAAACAACGUCGAACGUGUCUUAUCCGCGUGAGAGGAUAAAGAUAAGUGGUUGCACAUUUGAAUUCAAAUCAAAUUUGAAUUCAAAUGCAAAACCAACUCAUCCCUAUCCACCUGGGGAUGAGAAGAGAAGGGGCGUGAGUUGAUUUGUGCAUGAAGAGUUUACACGAGAAACACUUUCUCGUAUAAAAUAUGGGGCGC
rnacentral:lncRNA from 1 species